rnacentral:lncRNA from 10 species
GGAUAUGUGAGAAUACCAGCAUGUCAAGGCUGGGAAUCAUCCUUAGGCAUCACCUAGCCAGUCCUGCCUCUCAUUUUAAGGCUCUGCUUUUAGGGAAUCUGACUUAAGACGGAAAACUUGCUGAAUAAAUUAAUGAAGACCCAGGAUUUUUCUCUGGAGAAUGAAAACUGACAGUACAUUUGCUUCAGCUUUGGUCACCUGUACCUACAUUAAGGAGGACCAUGUUACUUCUGGGGUAGGCUCACCCGUGAAAGCACAGGCUACUGUUAGAACUUUGCCUUCAUCAAUGCUGAUAUCAGAUGGAAGAGCUUCAAUUUUAGGCGGAAUUCCUUUAUGGAACAAUGACAAAAAAAAGGUCUUAGAAUCACUGAAAAAAAUAAAGAUUUGCUUUCUACUGAA